rnacentral:rRNA from 1 species
UUGGAGGGCAAGUCUGGUGCCAGCAGCCGCGGUAAUUCCAGCUCCAAUAGCGUAUAUUAAAGUUGUUGCAGUUAAAAAGCUCGUAGUUGAAUUUCGGGAUCAAUAUGUCGGUCGUGCCUUCGGUACGUACUGGUAUCAUUGGUCUCUCCUUUCUGACGAACCAUGAUGUCAUUAAUUUGGUGUUAUGGGGAGUUAGGACUGUUACUUUGAAAAAAUUAGAGUGUUUAAAGCAGGCAUUUUUGCUUGAAUACAUUAGCAUGGAAUAAUAAAAUAGGACGGCAUGAUUCUAUUUUGUUGGUUUCUAGGAUCACCGUAAUGAUUAAUAGGGAUAGUUGGGGGCAUUAGUAUUCAAUUGUCAGAGGUGAAAUUCUUGGAUUUAUUAAAGACUAACUACUGCGAAAGCAUUUGCCAAGGAUGUUUUCAUUAAUCAAGAACGAAAGUUAGGGGAUCGAAGACGAUCAGAUACCGUCGUAGUCUUAACCAUAAACUAUGCCGACUAGGAAUCAGACGAUGUUAAUUUUUUAAUGACUCGUUUGGCACCUUACGGGAAACCAAAGUGUUUGGGUUC